rnacentral:rRNA from 1 species
UACGAAGGGGGCUAGCGUUGCUCGGAAUCACUGGGCGUAAAGCGCACGUAGGCGGACUCUUAAGUCAGGGGUGAAAUCCUGGAGCUCAACUCCAGAACUGCCUUUGAUACUGGGAGUCUUGAGUUCGGGAGAGGUGAGUGGAACUGCGAGUGUAGAGGUGAAAUUCGUAGAUAUUCGCAAGAACACCAGUGGCGAAGGCGGCUCACUGGCCCGAUACUGACGCUGAGGUGCGAAAGCGUGGGGAGCAAACAGGGAU